CACUCAAGUGUCACCAAAUCAAGCUAGCUCACAUUGGAAAAGUCGAACUUUUUUGUGAUUUUUGUUUGUUUGUUUUUUACAAGUUUAUUCAUUUUUCUUCACCAUGGGCCCCACGAAUAUAUGGUGGAAUUAAGUUGUGUACGUUCCUACGUAGCAAAUGUUUGCCUCCUCCUGCGUCCCCCACGAUGGCUUAUGCCUGUCACUCAUCCUCCUCUUUGCAAUGUCGCCCAACGCCAAAGGUGGCUUGGAAUGGAUUAGGCUAUUUGCAAGAGCGCUUUGACUUCCGGAAUGAAUUAAUUUCGCACACAGUCUUAAUCGAUAACGAGGCACUCUAAAGGGGCCGAGCCAGUCCGAAGACCCGGCCCACACGCUGGUUCCCAAAUCGGAAAUUUCCGGAUUGUUCUGCCUUCCUCCACAGGAUGUACAUCUGCAUGCUGUACCACUGUCCCUGUCUGAGUACUCUGUCAUAAGCUUUCUCUCCAUCAGGAACCUAAAGUUCCCACAGCUCUGCACAUCACCUGCGUUCUUAAAAAUGCAGAUAAGAAGACUAUUCCUCCGUUCUUCAAUCAUUCCUAGAUUUGUCUUGAACAAUCUGGUCAAAAACUGUACAGCCACCUCUCCAAGAUGCUUCCAUACCUCCAUAAGUAUGUUAUCAGGACCAACUGCAUUUCCAUUUUUCAUCCUCUUUAAUGUCUUUCUAACUUCCCCCUUACUCAUCAUUGCAACUUCAUGGUCUACCACACUUUCCUCUUCUGCUUUUCCUUUUAUCUUAUUCUCCUCAUUCAUCAGCUCCUUAGAGUGUUCUUUCCAUCUAUCCAGCACACUCCUGGCACCAGUCAACAGUUUUCGAUCCAUAUCUUUAAUCACCCUAACCUGCUGCACAGCCAUUCCCUCUCAAGUCCUCUGUCUGGUCAAUCUGAAUAACCUCUUUUCUCUUUUAGUGCCCAACCUCUCACAUCUCCUCUUAUGCCUCUUCUUGAACUUUUGCCGCCUCUACCUUUUGCCCCUCGUAUUCCUUUCCCCUCUGCUCUGUUCUCUCAGCGUCCCACUUCUCAGCUAACCUGUCAUAACCAGAACUCCAGUGUGGACCCAAAUGCACGACUCGUUACCUUCAGAUUAUAUCAUCUCCACAUGAUGCAAUCCACCUAGGUGCUUCUACCUUACCUCUUAUAGGUCACCCCAUGUUCCUGGCUCUUCUGGAAAUUCAAGUUUCAACUUCUUCCCAUCUACACUAUGGUCAAAUAAUUUGAACCCUUCUUCUGAACUUAUACCCUUGGCUGUCUUUUCCCCUACUAGUCUUCUAGAAUCAUGAUAUAUCUUAAUCUAUACAUGCGCUCAUCAUCAUCUCAACUAAAUCCCAAUCUUUUCUUGUCUUCGUCCCAACUUUAAGAUCUAGGCUCCAUGCUUUCUUCUGUUUCUGCCCAAGAACCUGCUUUCCACCUCUAAUUUGUUUUUGACUCACAGCAGGGUUAGGAUUUUUACUGGUGCUCAGUAGGGUAACAAAACUGGUGAAGGAUGUUGUUAACCCGGGCCACGGCCAAUCUGGUCUGGAGUUCUUCGCAUGAAUUUUCAUAUUU